CCGGUCCCUGCUAGCCGGACACCGCUGGCAACCCGGCGCCAAGACGUGCGCGCAAGGGCGGGCGCCCGCGGGCGAGCAGCGUGACGCAGCGACGGCCCGCCCGGGCUUCCGGGGCAUCACCCGGUCGGCGCGGUCGCGGCGCGCCGAGGGCCCGACGCCUGGCGGAGAAUCAGGGUUCGACUCCGGAGAGCGGGCCUGCGAGACGGCCCGCACAUCCAAGGACGGCAGCAGGCGCGGAACUUGCCCAAUGCGCGGCGCGCGAGGCAGCGACGGGGAGCGCGCGAGCGAGGCGGGCCCACAGCCCCCGCCGCGGAGCCGAGGGCAAGGUCUGGUGCCAGCAGCCGCGGUAAUUCCAGCUCGGCGAGCGUCGCGCGGCGCUGCUGCAGUUGAAACGCCCGUAGUUGGCCCCCCGCCGCCACGAGGAAACGGGAGCGCUCCAGGCAGGCCCGUUGGACCCGCCGCGUGGGACCGCGCAGCGGGCGCGGCGCGCCGCGGCAGCCCCGAGGAGAGCGGGCGGUGGCACCGGUACCGGCCGGGGACGGGUGAAACAGGAUGAUCCCGCCGAGACCGCCGGCCGCGCAGGCGCCUGCCAAGACCGCCUCUGUCAAUCAAGGGCGAAGGCCGGGGGCUAGAAGGCGAUCAGACACCACCGUAUUCCCGGCCGUAAACGGUGCCGCCCCGCGGCCGGCGCGCGCGUCCCGCCGGCCGCCCAGGGAAACCGGGAGGCUCCGGGCUCUG
rnacentral:ncRNA from 1 species